rnacentral:tRNA from 1 species
AAGGCUUUAGCUUAAUUAAAGCAUCUGAGUUGCAUUCAGAAUAUGUGGGGUGAUCUCGCAGGUCUUA